rnacentral:piRNA from 1 species
UACAUAAUUUAGCCCUNUGAAAAAAGCCU